GGAGGUAUAAAGAGUGUAGGGCCCAGAAAGGAAGGGAGAGACGGGCGUGGAGACCCCAGUUCCCAAGGAGAACGGAAGAGUGGAAGGAUGGAGAUCUCAGACUCAGGAGAGAAGGCCUCCAGCUUGGACCCUAACCACUGUCUUCAGGAACAAUGGAUGUACAGCCUCUACAGUUGAUGGCCCCUGAUCCCUUUAGGGAUAAAGGUGUCGAGGCUCCUCUGUUUCUCUCCCCAGAACCAGCAACACAUGCUGUUUACACUGGGCUCUUCCUGCCCAGAACAAAGUGCCAGCUAAGAUAAAUCACUGUCAGCACCCGGGGGAUGAGACCACAGGCUGUGGAGGUGACAGAAGUCAUUCUUCCAAGACCUUUAUCAAAUGAAUUACU
rnacentral:lncRNA from 1 species